rnacentral:rRNA from 1 species
UACGAAGGGGGCUAGCGUUGUUCGGAAUUACUGGGCGUAAAGCGAACGUAGGCGGUGUUCCAUGUCAGAGGUGAAAGCCUGGGGCUCAACUCCAGAAUUGCCUUUGAAACGGGGACGCUUGAGUCCGAGAGAGGAUGGCGGAAUUCCCAGUGUAGCGGUGAAAUGCGUAGAUAUUGGGAGGAACACCAGUGGCGAAGGCGGCUCACUGGACCGGAACUGACGCUGAGGCGCGAAAGCGUGGGGAGCAAACGGG